rnacentral:misc_RNA from 1 species
UCCGAGUUGUCCCCGGCAGUCCCCUUAGAGUCCCCGGCAUUACCCGCUGGCAACAUGGAACAGGGGUUGCGCUCGUUGCGCCACUUAAGGCAACACCUCAUGGCACGAGCUGACGACAGCCAUGCAGCACCUGUGCAGGCUCCCAAAGGAGCACCGGCUUUCACCGGCUUUACCCUGCAUGUCAAGCCCUGGCAAGGUUCUUCGCGUUGCGUCGAAUUGAGCCACAUGCUCCGCCGCUUGUGCGGGCCCCCGUCAAUUCCUUUGAGUUUUAACCUUGCGGUCGUAAUCCCCAGGCGGGGUGCUUAAUGCGUUAGCUACGGCACGGAGGGAGUGGAUAACCCCCCACACCUAGCACCCAUCGUUUACGGCGUGGACUAC